UACAUGGGGUGCAAACGUUGCUCGGAAUUAUUGGGCGUAAAGCGCACGUAGGCGGUUUGUUAAGUCGGAUGUGAAAUCCCUCGGCUCAACUGAGGAAGUGCAUCCGAAACUGGCAGGCUUGAGUACUAAAGAGGGUCGCGGAAUUCCCGGUGUAGAGGUGAAAUUCGUAGAUAUCGGGAGGAACACCGGUGGCGAAGGCGACACGCUGGGCCGUACCUGACACUGAACCGCGACAGCAUGGGGAGCAAACAGG
rnacentral:rRNA from 1 species